rnacentral:rRNA from 1 species
GAUGAACGCUAGCGGCAGGCUUAACACAUGCAAGUCGAGGGGCAGCACGUCUUCGGAUGGUGGCGACCGGCGCACGGGUGCGUAACGCGUAUACAAUCUACCUUUUACAGAGAGAUACCCCAGAGAAAUUUGGAAUAAUACCUCAUAAUAUUAUUGCUCGGCAUCGAGUGACAAUUAAAGUUUCGGCGGUAAAAGAUGAGUAUGCGUCCUAUUAGCUAGUUGGUAAGGUAACGGCUUACCAAGGCGACGAUAGGUAGGGGUCCUGAGAGGGAGAUCCCCCACACUGGUACUGAGACACGGACCAGACUCCUACGGGAGGCAGCAGUGAGGAAUAUUGGUCAAUGGACGAAAGUCUGAACCAGCCAUGCCGCGUGCAGGAUGAAGCAUCUAUGGUGUGUAAACUGCUUUUGUACGGGAAGAAACCCUUGCUUGAGAGCAAGAUUGACGGUACCGUAAGAAUAAGGAUCGGCUAACUCCGUG